GAUGAACGCUGGCGGCGUGCUUAACACAUGCAAGUCGAACGGUGAAGGCGGAGCUUGCUCUGCUUUAUCAGUGGCGAACGGGUGAGUAACACGUGAGCAAUCUGCCCCUGACUCUGGGAUAAGCGCUGGCAACGGCGUCUAAUACUGGAUACGAGCUGCGAAGGCAUCUUCAUCAUCUGGAAAGAAUUUCGGUCAGGGAUGAGCUUGCGGCCUAUCAGCUUGUUGGUGAGGUAAUGGCUCACCAAGGCGUCGACGGGUAGCCUGCCUGAGAGGGUGACCGGCGACACUGGGACUGAGAGACGGAGCAGACGCCUACGGGAGGCAGCAGUGGGGAAUAUUGCACAGUGGGCGAAAGUCUGAGGCAACAACGCCGCGAGUGGGAAGAACGCUUUCUGGUUGUAAACCUCUUUUAGCAGGGAAGAAGCGAUAGUGACGGUACCAGCAGAAAAAGCGCCGGCUAACUACGUG
rnacentral:rRNA from 1 species